UCAUGUGUCCGCAUGGCUGGAAAAAUCUCAAGGAGAAUUGUGGGUUUCACCCACGAGAAUCUGACCAUUCUCUGUAUGAAUGCAUGGGUAAGAAAAACUCACAACGGCCAUACACCAGGACAGAAAGCCUGCGGCGAGAUCCGCACCUUCCACAGCAGGCGCGAAAUUUACUAUGUAUUUGUGUUCAUAGCCGCCUGUGGGUGUGGGUGCCACGGCAUGCGUGUGAAGUCAGUCAGUUCUCUCCUUCCACCACGUGAUCCUGGGGAUCAAUCUCAGGCCAUCAGGCCUGGCGAGAAGCAACCUCACCACUGAGCCAUCCUGCCAGCCCUACGGCUUUCUAUAGGUUUUGCACGUGUGUACAGGGUUACAUGCAUGUGUAAGUUUGGGUGAUUUUUUUUUUUUUUUUAAUAGCACUGCCAACUGAGGGCAGGGCCUCUUGAGUACCGGGUGAGUACCCAUCCCUGAGCUGCACCCCCAGCUCUGCUUUUUAUCUUUGAAACAGAGUCUUAACUACGUAUCCCAGGCUGGCUCCAAACUCCGGGCAAGCCUCCAGCCCCAGCCUCCUGAGCACUGGAAUUACUGACAUGACCUACUAUGACCCAGUUCUGAUUUUGGAUUUUCACUGCUGGUGGUCGUUUGGUUUGGUUUUGUGUUCUUUAAGAUAGGGUCUUACACCGUACUCCAGACUGCCCUUGAGCUUACGGUAACUCUCCUGCCUCAGUCUCCUGAGAGCUGGAAUUGCAGGCAUGAGGCACCGCAUUCAGAUUCUGGUUUUAUCUUUCUCUUUUCCUUUUUUAAAUGAACCAAAUCAAAGCUCAUUAAAAGAGGUUUGGGGGGCUGGAGAGAUGGCUCAGCAGUUAAGAGCACUCAUUUCUCUUCCGGAUGACCUGAGUUCAGUUCCCAGCACCCACACUGGGUAGCUCACAGCUGUCUGUCACUUUUGCUCAGGAGAUCUGAUACCUCCAGCCUUAGGAAGUAUCAGCACAGACACAUACUUAUACAUAAUCACAUUUUUUUCUUUUGGCCUUUCCACACAGGGUUUCUCUGUGUAGCUCUGGCCUCAAGCUCAGAGAUCCACUUGACUUUGUCUCCCAAGUGCUGGGAUUAAAAGUGUGAGCCACCACACCCAACUUUUUAAAUAAAUCUUAAACUUAAGGUGAGAGAAACUGAAGACACCCAGUGUUGAACUUUGUACCCCAUCCCUCUCUACGCAAGCGCAAUACGUGAGAACAAACACACAUACGUUUAUACAGUCACACACAUGCAAGAUAACAAUAACAAGGAAGUUAUUUUAACACAAAUUUCAGCAGGAUUCUAACAGAAGUAGGGCGGCUUAGGGAAAGGGGCUGUGCUGGCUUUACGUCAGCUUGACACAAGCUAGAGUCAUCGGAGAGAAGAGACCCUCAACUGGGAAAAUGCUUUCAUAAGAUAAGGAGGCAACCCUGUAGGACAUUUUCCUAAUUAACCAUUUGAUGAGGAAGGGUAUUGUAGGCGGGGCCGUCCUGGGUGGGUGGGGCCAUCUCCAGGAGCAUGGUCCUGGGUUCUAUAAAAAAGCGGCUGAGCAAACCAUGAAGAGCAAGCAAGCAGCACCCCUCCAGGUUCCUGCCCUGUCUUCCUUUGAUGAACAUUGAUGGAAGUAAGGAAAACCAACCCUUUCCUCCCCAAGUUGCUUUUGGUCAUGGUGUUUCCUCACAUCACCAGUAACCCUAACUAAGAUGGGGUGGACAAAGAGUGGGUGUGAACUACCCGAGGGAGAGUGGCCUGCUUUUGCCUUUCUGUGAGAGCUUUCCUCUGUGCACCAUCAAGGGCCGUAGGACCUGAGUGACACCUGCUCUGGCCCAGGCACCUGACUCAAUGCUCGUGAUGCAAGCCAGGUGGCUGAAGCUCAGGGGACUCAGUCAUAUCAGGCAGUGACUACCUAACCUCGAGGGGCUGCAGCUGCCAGCUUGCCAGGAGGGUGACUCGCCAGGUAAGGCGGUUUAAAUGAACAAUGUCUUCCUGAGGCUCAGACACGUAAACACUGGGUUUCUAAUGGGUGACACUGGAGAGGUUAUGGAGAGGGACAGCCUUGGUGGAGGAAGUCUGUGUGUGUGGGGGGUUGGUUUUGAGAAUUGAAUGUCUCCCCCCACUUCCAGCUUCCUCUCUGCUCCCUGCCCUUCCACCAGACCUUCCCCACUAUUAUGGGCUGCCUCUCUGGAACCCUCAGCCCAAAUCAAUGCUUCCUCCAUAAGCUGCUUCUGGCCCCAUGCGUUAUCACAGGAAGAGCAGAGAGAGAGGCCUGGAAUCUGCACCCUCUGGGUUCCACAAUGGGUCCUCAGUGUCCCCUGGUCCCCUGGAACAGGCCCAAGCUUGGGAGGUGGAACUCGGGGCUGGUAUGCAGGGCCUAGGGCCAUCCUGGCUGAGAGGCUCACAGAGCAGGAGAGUCACCGGAGCAGCAGGAGGGGUGGGGACUCACCAUCUGGUCGGCCAGCAACAGCACCGUCUUGAGGCUGAACUUCCGGGAACAGAAGUUGAAGAGGUCCUCCAGGCUGGGCCCCAGCAGCUCCAUGACCAUCACGUUAUAGUCUCCCUCAGCCCCGCACCACUUGAUGGAUGGGAUCCCCACUGGGCCCAGAAGAGAGACUCAGUCAGCGGUAGCCACUCAUGUCCUCUGCAUCAUCUUCUCCUCCUCGACACCCAGAACACCAGCUCCCCGUCCCCCAUCUUCUGUGCCAGCCCCCCCCAGCCCCAGCCCCGCCUCACCUCCGCCCUGCAUCAUCUUGUAGAACUUGCUCUCGAUGUGGAGCUGGGGAUGCUUCGUCUUCACACAUUCGAGCUUGAUGGCUACUUCCUCACCAGAGGCAAUGUUGGCACCUGCCCGAGUCAGAGGAGUUUCUCACAGCUGGAAGCAAGAUGUUCUAACUCAGAAAUUAUACACUCCAAGGCCUGGCUCUCAGCCUGGGGCCGUGGCUCCAGGAGUCACAAGAGAACCUGGGCACGGUGCACACCUGCAAUCCCGACAUGGAGGGAGCCGAAGCAAGAGAACUUCCUGAGUUCAAGAUCAUCCAGGUUUACACAUAAAUUUCAGGCCAGCCUGGGCUACACAAUGAUUUCUAGCCUAGGCUAUAGAGUGACACUGUUUGGAAGGGAGGGAGAGGAUGGGUCAGAAGUAGGUUGGUUAGUUGGUUUUUGAUUUUUUUGGUUGUUGUUUGUUUGUUUGUUUGUUUGUUUUUAAUGAUCUAGUCAUUUCUAUCCUAUGUCCACCAGUGAUCUGCCUGCUUGUUCCUGUCUGUGAGGGUGUCAUAUAUCCUAGAACUGAGGUCACAAACAAGUGUGGGCUGCCUUGUGGGUGCUGGGAAUCGAAGCCCAGUCCUUUGGAAGAAUAGCCAGUGCUCUGAAAUGUUGAGCCAUAGUAGGGGUUGAGAGAACUGUAGUUCUCAGGGGCUGUGUGGAGGAGAAGAGAGGGACAAAAGGCAAGUCAGAGGCUGGAAGCAGCUCUGGGGUUACAGCAGGCUGGGAGCCAGAGGCAGGAGCUGCUCUUGGAAGUGAUGGACGUUUGAGACUUAGCUGACGAGGGAACGGCGUUGCAGUAGGGCCACACAACUGCAUACUUGCUGUGUUCUCACCAUGUAGCCCAGGUUGGCCCGGUACUUGCUAAUGUCCUGUCUCAGAUGGAGCUAACUGGCCUCCACACAUACGUCA
rnacentral:lncRNA from 1 species